rnacentral:rRNA from 1 species
GAUGAACGCUGGCGGCGUGCCUAAUACAUGCCAGUCGAGCGAACAGACGAGGAGCUUGCUCCUCUGACGUUAGCGGCGGACGGGUGAGUAACACGUGGAUAACCUACCUAUAAGACUGGGAUAACUUCGGGAAACCGGAGCUAAUACCGGAUAAUAUAUUGAACCGCAUGGUUCAAUAGUGAAAGACGGUUUUGCUGUCACUUAUAGAUGGAUCCGCGCCGCAUUAGCUAGUUGGUAAGGUAACGGCUUACCAAGGCAACGAUGCGUAGCCGACCUGAGAGGGUGAUCGGCCACACUGGAACUGAGACACGGUCCAGACUCCUACGGGAGGAAGCAGUAGGGAAUCUUCCGCAAUGGGCGAAAGCCUGACGGAGCAACGCCGCGUGAGUGAUGAAGGUCUUCGGAUCGUAAAACUCUGUUAUUAGGGAAGAACAAAUGUGUAAGUAACUAUGCACGUCUUGACGGUACCUAAUCAGAAAGCCACGGCUGACUACGUG